rnacentral:lncRNA from 1 species
UCACAUGUCGGCUCUCUUAACCAUCUAUUAAAUUAUUAUUAUGCUUGAUUAUGAAUUAUUCUUCGGCUGCUAAUAAUUCUAUCACAGCAUACAUAGUUUCUUCCUUUAUAAAUUGGACAUAAAAUGUUAGUCCACUAGACUUUCUUAUGAAAAUUUUAAUUUAUUGGUUAUUCUUUCUUAUUCAGAUUAAUAUAUUUCUUUGUUUAAC